rnacentral:misc_RNA from 1 species
GCGGGUUUGAGCAAAUGGUUAAUGGUGCAAAGGAAAAUGAGAAUUUGGGUGAUGAGAUUUUGGAGGAUUUUGAAACAUACUGGGAAGAUGUUAAUGACCGCUUAAUGGUAUCAAGGAUGGUAAGUGACUCAGUGAUUAAGGGGAUAGUGAGUGCGGUGGAACAAGAGGCAGCUGAGAGACUAGUGACUAAGGAUAUGGAAUUAGCCAACUUGAAGGAAUAUUUGCAAUUUCAUGAAGGGGGUCUUAGCAAAACUGAACUUGAAUCUUUUGGGUCACUUAUGUCGCAGAAUGAGCUAGAAAGUAUGGAUUUUCGAAAAUGUAUGACUUUAUCAGAUGUUUUUAUGGAGCAUGGUAAGAU